rnacentral:lncRNA from 1 species
CUUGGAGUCAGAGAAAAGCAUACGGGGAAACUGAGCCAGGAGGACCACUUUGAGCUCAGUGAUUUGAGACUUAAACAACAUGAGACCCUCAAAGCUGGAAUUAGGGGUACCAAGGAGAAAGAAAGCUGAAUGUUAAGGUCAAUGAUCUUGACCGGGUUAACCACUGAUCAUCUGAAGGGUCUACUUCUGUUGUCUGGCCUUGCAUUUUUAAUCUUCCUGCUUUCUGCCAUCCAAGUGUCCAAGUGCUGGGGUUACAGAUGUGUUACCUAUACACCCAGUCAAAGAAGUGUCUUUGGAGACUCCAUUUGAAGAGUCGGUGUGACAGCCAGCCUUUCUAGGUCUCCAGCGCCUCCUCAACACGGACUAGCAAAGGGACUUCCCCUUACAAUCCAUUGGCCCCACAGACCCCCGCUGCAAACACAUUCUUAGCAUCCUGUCCCCGGCUCGUAAAUCGCUGGUUUCUCCUUGUUCUAAUCUUGGAGUGGGCACUAUUCUUACAAACGUGUGACAUCGUCCUUCCUAGAAAGAGGGGACAGGGAAGCCUGGUUAGAUGAGCCCAGGCUCCAGGAAAAGCAGGUCUCAGCUUUAAGGUGGCUGGGGUGAGAGAUGCUGUGCUCCUGACCCGGAGAGGCCCUUUGUUAUCCGGGGGGGAUUUGGGCUCUGGGUGGAUGUAAAUGCUAAACGGCUGCCUGGGUGGUGAGCAUGCUGGAGAACCCUGGCUUACUUGCUGCUGACUGCACUACCGGUGGUUCAGGAGAGAGACCAAAGUACAUAAGCAGAAAACAGGGCAGCAGAUAACAAGGCGGCCCAGUGGCCUUUCACUUCUUCCCCCUUCCUUCCCUCCUGUUCCUCCGGCCACUGGAGGACAGGGCCGAGUGUGUUUGUGCUGUCUUGAAGCUCACGCGGGCUGCCCGGGUCACAUGGCACGGGCAUGUGCAGCCUGCUCCAUUUCUACCACAACAACUCGCUCAUAAACAGCCCGGCUGCUGCGGCGGUGGCGGCGGAGACAUGUGCAAGUGAGGGGGUGGGGCACGUGGCCCUGCCCGAGCCAAGGGAAGGACUGGAUUGCUCAGCGCUGCCUCCACCCCUGCCCGCACUGGGCUGCCUAGCCACAGGAAAU